AUUGAACGCUGGCGGCAUGCUUUACACAUGCAAGUCGAACGGUAACAGGCCGCAAGGUGCUGACGAGUGGCGAACGGGUGAGUAACGCAUCGGAACGUGCCCAGUCGUGGGGGAUAACGCAGCGAAAGCUGCGCUAAUACCGCAUACGAUCUCUGGAUGAAAGCGGGGGACCGAAAGGCCUCGCGCGAUUGGAGCGGCCGAUGUCAGAUUAGGUAGUUGGUGGGGUAAAGGCUCACCAAGCCAACGAUCUGUAGCUGGUCUGAGAGGACGACCAGCCACACUGGGACUGAGACACGGCCCAGACUCCUACGGGAGGCAGCAGUGGGGAAUUUUGGACAAUGGGCGCAAGCCUGAUCCAGCAAUGCCGCGUGCAGGAAGAAGGCCUUCGGGUUGUAAACUGCUUUUGUACGGAACGAAACGGUCCUGGUUAAUACCUGGGGCUAAUGACGGUACCGUAAGAAUAAGCACCGGCUAACUACGUGCCAGCCGCCGCGGUAACAC
rnacentral:rRNA from 1 species